UUUGAUCCUGGCUCAGAUUGAACGCUGGCGGCAUGCCUUACACAUGCAAGUCGAACGGUAACAGGUCUUCGGAUGCUGACGAGUGGCGAACGGGUGAGUAAUACAUCGGAACGUGCCCGAUCGUGGGGGAUAACGGAGCGAAAGCUUUGCUAAUACCGCAUACGAUCUACGGAUGAAAGCAGGGGACCGCAAGGCCUUGCGCGAAUGGAGCGGCCGAUGGCAGAUUAGGUAGUUGGUGGGAUAAAAGCUUACCAAGCCGACGAUCUGUAGCUGGUCUGAGAGGACGACCAGCCACACUGGGACUGAGACACGGCCCAGACUCCUACGGGAGGCAGCAGUGGGGAAUUUUGGACAAUGGGCGAAAGCCUGAUCCAGCCAUGCCGCGUGCAGGAUGAAGGCCUUCGGGUUGUAAACUGCUUUUGUACGGAACGAAAAGACUCUGGUUAAUACCUGGGGUCCAUGACGGUACCGUAAGAAUAAGCACCGGCUAACUACGUGCCAGCAGCCGCGGUAAUACGUAGGGUGCAAGCGUUAAUCGGAAUUACUGGGCGUAAAGCGUGCGCAGGCGGUUAUAUAAGACAGAUGUGAAUC
rnacentral:rRNA from 1 species